rnacentral:rRNA from 1 species
GAUGAACGCUGGCGGCGUGCCUAAUACAUGCAAGUAGAACGCUGAAGGAGGAGCUUGCUCUUCUGGAUGAGUUGCGAACGGGUGAGUAACGCGUAGGUAACCUGCCUGGUAGCGGGGGAUAACUAUUGGAAACGAUAGCUAAUACCGCAUGACAACAGUUAUUGCAUGAUAACUGUUUAAAAGGGGCAACUGCUCCACUACCAGAUGGACCUGCGUUGUAUUAGCUAGUUGGUGAGGUAACGGCUCACCAAGGCGACGAUACAUAGCCGACCUGAGAGGGGGAUCGGCCACCCUGGGACUGAGACACGGCCCAGACUCCUACGGGAGGCAGCAGUAGGGAAUCUUCGGCAAUGGACGGAAGUCUGACCGAGCAACGCCGCGUGAGUGAAGAAGGUUUUCGGAUCGUAAAGCUCUGUUGUAAGAGAAGAACGAGUGUGAGAGUGGAAAGUUCACACUGUGACGGUAUCUGACCAGAAAGGGACGGCUAACUACGUG